rnacentral:rRNA from 1 species
UACAGAGGUCUCAAGCGUUGUUCGGAUUCAUUGGGCGUAAAGGGUGUGUAGGUGGCUCGCUAAGUCGGGUGUGAAAUUUCGGAGCUUAACUCCGAAACUGCAUUCGAUACUGGCGUGCUUGAGGACUGGAGAGGAGACUGGAAUUCAUGGUGUAGCAGUGAAAUGCGUAGAGAUCAUGAGGAAGACCAGUGGCGAAGGCGGGUCUCUGGACAGUUCCUGACACUGAGACACGAAGGCCAAGGGAGCAAACAGG